UUUUCCCUAUCCUAGUUUUCCCUCUUUACAACACAAUUAGCAUCUCCCUUCAAAAUCACGUUUCACGAAAAUCCUUAUGAAAAAUCUCCCUCCAAAAUCAAUUAAUUCCCUCCAAAAUCUCAUUCACAUUCAAGUUUCACGUAGAAGACAUGAGAUGGACAGCAGGAUUUGCAGGAUCUGCAAAAAACGCUUAUCGUUUGCUGGUGGGCAGCUUUGACUUUCAUCUCUAUGGUGGCAUCCGUUGCUUAUUAUUUGUCCAUUUGAUGGCGGAUACGGGUGGAUGGGAGAAACAUGAGAAUGAAGGGCUGGCUGUGACAUCUUUAGAGAAUGAGGAUCGCAGAUGUGCUGGUCAGUUUGAAAAGCUUUAAAUGAAGGAAGCAGCAAACAAGAAGACUACCUAAAGACCAAAUGCAGCUGCUUAGCAAUAUCAUAGCACAAUUAAAAUGGAGUGGUCGUUAGCUCUUCAUUUAAGUGAUCUUUUUGUCAUUUCAUUGAGAAAGAUUCAUUAAAUCUUUGUUCUUGUUAUACACUCUGUUGGUAGCCUUGUUUGAAUAUAUUUUUUUUAAUGGGUCAAGCGGGUAAGAUAAAAAAAUAGAUUAAGGCUUGGCAAACAGAUCGUGUUGGGUGGGUUUUGCAAACGUCGUGCAGCCGAAGCCGCUGUUGCGGAUGCGUCAUGCCGCUGCUGCUGCGUGCGCCGUGCAGCCGAAGACGCUGUUGCAUGCGUCGUGCAAUCGGGUAUUUUAGGCAUCUGAACACGACCCGUUUGGUACCCCUUACCCUCAUUGACUUUAAAUGACGUUAAUUUCAAUUUUAAAAUAAA